rnacentral:lncRNA from 1 species
UUUAAUCUGCCUUUUGUAUGCACCGUAGACGUCGGACACACGGGGCGCCGACGUCUACGGCAUUGAUCGGAAUGACAUUUCAAUUCUUGUCAGGGAAGUAGACGACUGUUGUCCUGGGGCGCUAACGUCUAUAACAUUUUAGACAUCGGCGCACUUUCUACUGGACGUCGAAGUGCCUGCGAGUUUGGUGAAUAAAAUUAAUAACAACCACAUAGACAUCGCUCCCCCAAAAAUCUAACGUCUAUAUUGCAGAAAUUAUUGUCUUCUCGCCUUCCUGACAGGCCCAUUGACAUCAAGUUAAGGGAGAAAAGAUGUCUAUAGCAUUAUAGACGUCGGUGUUUGAUUACAUGAUGUCUACGCGCCUGGAAAUCAGGUGAAGAGCAUUAAUUGUAGUUAGGUAGACGUCUGCCCCCCC